CGUUGUUAUGACUACCUUGUAACCAAGCCUUUGUUUCAGGACGCAUGUUAGAACCAUGUUAUGCUUAGAUUCUGACUUCUGUGGCUGACUCCUGUUUAUUUGCCUGACAAAAUCCCUCAUUUUCUAUAUUGUAUUAUAUUAGCUGUACAUUGAAGUGGAAAGAUCCUAAGGCUGCUCUAGUACACCAAGAAGAAGGCCGUGCCUUAUGAAGAAUCAGAAACUGUCAUGGAACAUCGUUGCUGGUGAUCAGCAAGAUACCUGUAUUGGCUGGUUUUGUGUGUCAACUUGACACAAGCUGAAGUUAUCACAGAAAGGAGCUUCAGUUGAGGAAAUGCCUCCAUGAGACCCAGCUGUAAGGCAUUUUCUCAACAGUGAUCAAGUUCCUGCUUCCUGACCUGCUUGAGUUCCGGUCCUGACUUCCUUUGGUGAUGAACAGCAAUGUGGAAGUGUAAGCUGAAUAAAC
ensembl:lncRNA